rnacentral:lncRNA from 1 species
CGAGCUCUCUCUUCCUCCGGUUCGCCCCAUUCCCUUCCUCCUCCGAUUGCCGGCGAUUCCGGCCACCCCAGGACGUGCCACCGGUCAUCCCAGGUUCGCCUCCUCCCUCCGAGCACGCCUACAUCCUUGGUUUUCCACGAUUUGGCCGGAAAACCACGGAUCGAACGAAAGACUCCUCCGGCUGCAGUUGACGAUUUCCGGCGAUUCCGGCCACCUCCGGUCCCCAUCUUUCUGUCGAAGGUUUGGUUUUCAUCACUGAUUAUUUUCCCUAUGGUCUUGUAACACGAUUUGAAGUGUAGAGGCCGGAUCGAAUUAGGGUUCUUGAAUUUUCUGGGUUUGUGUUCUUGGUUUGAUUUCGACUGUUUCUAGUUGUUAUUUGUAAAUGUUGUAGUUAUGAAGUGGAAUCAGUGUGUUGAGUAGGUGUUGUACCUGAAAUUUGGUGGCCGGAGGUGGAGGUUGGCCACCGGCGCGUGAAACCCACGCACUGCCACUGUAGGUGGCGCGUGAAACAGGGUUUCGGCCGGAAAUUGUGACUGUUGAACAUGUAUUCGAUCCUUUUUACAUCUAGUUAAUUAAUCG